CCUACGGGAGGCAGCAGUGGGGAAUUUUCCGCAAUGGGCGAAAGCCUGACGGAGCAAGACCGCGUGAGGGAUGAAUGCCUAAUGGUUGUAAACCUCUUUUCUCUAGGAAGAUGAUGACGGUACUAGAGGAAUCAGCCUCGGCUAACUCCGUGCCAGCAGCCGCGGUAAUACGGAGGAGGCAAGCGUUAUCCGGAAUUAUUGGGCGUAAAGCGUCCGUAGGUGGUUGCACAAGUCAGCUGUUAAAGAGUGGAGCUUAACUCCAUGCCGGCGGUUGAAACUGUUUGACUAGAGUUUGGUAGGGGUUACGGGAAUUCCCAGUGUAGCGGUGAAAUGCGUAGAUAUUGGGAAGAACACCGGUGGCGAAAGCGCGUAACUGGACCUGAACUGACACUGAGGGACGAAAGCUAGGGGAGCGAAAGGGAUUAGAUACCCCAGUAGUC
rnacentral:rRNA from 1 species